UCUGCAGUCGAUCUUAAGAACAAACCCAUACAAGAGGGGGGAUAGCUGGCUUGUGGGAGCCAAGCGUUCAUAGCGAUGUUUGCUUUUUGAUCCUUCGAUACCGGCCCUUCCUAUCAUACUGAAGCAGAAUUCAGUAAGCGUUGGAUUCACCCACUAAUAGAGAACAUGAGCUGGGUUUAGACCGUCGUGAGACAGGUAGUUUUACCCUACUGAUGAAAUGUUGUUGCAAUAGUAACUGAACUUAGUACGAGAGGAACUGUUCAUUCGGAUAAUUGGUAUUUGGGCCAGCCUGAGCAGGCAAUGGCCCGAAGCUAUCAUCCGUUGGGUUAUGGCUGAACGCCUCUAAGUCAGAACCUGUGCUAGAACGUGACGAUUACGGAGGCCCUCUAGCUACAGGAUGUAAAGUAGUGGCCAUGAGAUUUUUAAAAGACACACCAACACCUAAUGGUCUUGGUGGAUAGUCUGGCUCUAUCACCCCCAUCUCCCCCCAUAUGUACAAUCCCUCUGGUAAGUAGCUGUGGACUAGUAUUUGGGGACUUUGGCGUGUUGGACGUUGGUGUUGCGGAUUGGACACACGUGAACCGGUCCAGACCCGUGGGAUUGGCAGGCAACAACGUCCAACACGCCAAAGUCCCCAAAUACUAGUCCACAGCUACUUACCAGAGGGAUUGUACAUGUGGGGGUGAUGGGGUUAGACUAUCCACCGAGACCAUUAGGUGUUGGUGUGUCUUUUAAAAAUCUCAUGGCCACUACUUUACAUCCUGUAUCUAGAGGGCCUCCUACCGUCUUGUGCCAUUUUUUAGUUAAAUACGAAUAGACCUACGUUCUUGAAUCUUACAAACGUGGGAUUAUCUUGCAGAGCGAAAAGGCUUUGUGAUGUUCCCGCCGAUGUUAAUUUCAAAUAUUGGAAGAGAUAAAUCCAUCGCUGACAACUUUAAUUGGACGGGGUAUUGUAAACAGUAGACUAGCCUUGUUGCUACGAUCUGCUGAGAUUGAGCCCAUUGUUCUAUAGAUUU
rnacentral:ncRNA from 1 species